rnacentral:rRNA from 1 species
UACGGAGGGUGCAAGCAUUAAUCGGAAUUAUUGGGCGUAAAGGGCGCGUAGGCGGAUCUAUAAGUCAGAUGUGAAAUUCCGGAGCUCAAUUUCGGAGCUGCAUUUGAAACUAUAGGUCUCGAGGGAUGGCGGAGAAAAUGGAAUUCCACGUGUAGCGGUGAAAUGCGUAGAUAUGUGGAAGAACACCUGUGGCGAAAGCGGUUUUCUAGCUAUAACCUGACGCUGAGGCGCGAGAGCAAGGGGAG